rnacentral:rRNA from 1 species
GGAGCAAACAGGAUUAGAUACCCUGGUAGUCCACGCCGUAAACGAUGUCGACUUGGAGGUUGUGCCCUUGAGGCGUGGCUUCCGGAGCUAACGCGUUAAGUCGACCGCCUGGGGAGUACGGCCGCAAGGUUAAAACUCAAAUGAAUUGACGGGGGCCCGCACAAGCGGUGGAGCAUGUGGUUUAAUUCGAUGCAACGCGAAGAACCUUACCUGGUCUUGACAUCCACGGAACUUUCCAGAGAUGAGAAGGUGCCUUCGGGAACCGUGAGACAGGUGCUGCAUGGCUGUCGUCAGCUCGUGUUGUGAAAUGUUGGGUUAAGUCCCGCAACGAGCGCAACCCUUAUCCUUUGUUGCCAGCGGUCCGGCCGGGAACUCAAAGGAGACUGCCAGUGAUAAACUGGAGGAAGGUGGGGAUGACGUCAAGUCAUCAUGGCCCUUACGACCAGGGCUACACACGUGCUACAAUGGCGCAUACAAAGAGAAGCGACCUCGCGAGAGCAAGCGGACCUCAUAAAGUGCGUCGUAGUCCGGAUUGGAGUCUGCAACUCGACUCCAUGAAGUCGGAAUCGCUAGUAAUCGUGGAUCAGAAUGCCACGGUGAAUACGUUCCCGGGCCUUGUACACACCGCCCGUCACACCAUGGGAGUGGGUUGCAAAAGAAGUAGGUAGCUUAACCUUCGGGA